AUACUUACCUGGCAGGUGAGAUACUGUGAUUAUGAAGGUGGUUUACCCAGAGUGGGGCUUAUCCAUUGCACUCUGGAUGUUCUGACCCCUGUGACUUCCUCUAAUGUGGAAAACCCAAUGGCAUAAUUUGUGGUAGUGAGGAACUUCUUUUACACUCUCCCUCA
rnacentral:snRNA from 2 species